UACGUAGGGGGCAAGCGUUGUCCGGAAUCAUUGGGCGUAAAGAGCGUGUAGGCGGCCCGAUAAGUCCGCUGUGAAAGUCCAGGGCUCAACCCUGGGAUGCCGGUGGAUACUGUCGGGCUCGAGUCCGGAAGAGGAGUGUGGAAUUCCUGGUGUAGCGGUGAAAUGCGCAGAUAUCAGGAGGAACACCCGAGGCGAAGGCGGCUCUCUGGGUCGUACCUGACGCUGAGGCGCGAAAGCGUGGGGAGCGAACGGG
rnacentral:rRNA from 1 species